GGAAAGGUGACCGAGUGGCCGAAGGUGCACGACUGGAAAUCGUGUGUGCGUGAGAGCGUACCGAGGGUUCGAAUCCCUCCCUUUCCGCCA
rnacentral:tRNA from 1 species